GAUACGCACCGGGGGUGUCCGAAUCUGCUUCAGCACCGCCCGUUUCGGGCAGAGAUGCUGGCGGCACUUUCAGGCUGAGAAAGUCCCUUAGAACCUGAACAGGAUAAUACCUGCGUAGGGAGAGUGCUUUUUUUUUGUU
rfam:Helianthus annuus linkage group 10, whole genome shotgun sequence.